CAGUAGCCACGGUAAUACGGAGGGUGCAAGCGUUAAUCGGAAUUACUGGGCGUAAAGCGCACGCAGGCGGUUUGUUAAGUCAGAUGUGAAAUCCCCGAGCUUAACUUAGGAAUUGCAUUCGAUACUGGGAAGCUAGAGUAUGGGAGAGGAUGGUAGAAUUCCAGGUGUAGCGGUGAAAUGCGUAGAGAUCUGGAGGAAUACCGAUGGCGAAGGCAGCCAUCUGGCCUAAUACUGACGCUGAGGUACGAAAGCAUGGGGAGCAAACAGGAUUAGAUACCCCUGUAGUCCCUGUCUCUUAUAC
rnacentral:rRNA from 1 species